CUACGUGCCAGCAGCCGCGGUAAUACGGAAGGUCCGGGCGUUAUCCGGAUUUAUUGGGUUUAAAGGGAGCGUAGGCCGGAGAUUAAGUGUGUUGUGAAAUGUAGACGCUCAACGUCUGACUUGCAGCGCAUACUGGUUUCCUUGAGUACGCACAACGUUGGCGGAAUUCGUCGUGUAGCGGUGAAAUGCUUAGAUAUGACGAAGAACUCCAAUUGCGAAGGCAGCUGACGGGAGCGCAACUGACGCUUAAGCUCGAAGGUGCGGGUAUCGAACAGGAUUAGAUACCCUGGUAGUCCGCACAGUAAACGAUGGAUGCCCGCUGUUGGUCCAUUAGGGUCAGCGGCCAAGCGAAAGCAUUAAGCAUCCCACCUGGGGAGUACGCCGGCAACGGUGAAACUCAAAGGAAUUGACGGGGGCCCGCACAAGCGGAGGAACAUGUGGUUUAAUUCGAUGAUACGCGAGGAACCUUACCCGGGCUUGAA
rnacentral:rRNA from 1 species